UCUGGAUGCUGUUAUCUCCUGCCAGAGAAUACUUAAUUUUCUGGUGGGCAGUAGAAUAAAUCUGUUCAUCUAGAUAGUAGUCAGCAGUCACUGUGAUUGACGAGUUCAGGCAGGUGUGUUUCUCUUGACCUGACUCCUAAGGCGUUGCUCAAUCAGGGCUUUGGAAGGGAGCUCAAGGUGACCUCAAGAGCGUCGCCCUGAUUCCAAGAGGUCUGGAUAUGGGAGCCAGAGCAAGGGACCGAGGGUGGGACCCCAGUGUUAACACUGUUCUGAGAAACUUGGCUUUGCAUCGGUAUUCACACACACCCUUGAACGUAAGUUCAUCUACACUACAGGGGUGGUAGGGUCUGCAGUCCUGUAGCCCAGAGUCUUCAUUUUGUGUAUGUAUUAGGAUCUGAGAUAAGCAACCCCCCUAAGCAGUGACUUAAAUAAUAGUUAUUUUUUUCACGUAAAAUCCAGAGGUGAUGACUCACCCUAAAUGCAAGAGAGUCUGGGAAAAUAACUGAGUCUGUAGGAUUAUAGGGUUGAUUCUGAAGUGUGGGAGGGGUGUGCACAGGGCCAGGGGCCUGACAGGUGUCCCCUCCGUUGGCUUAUCCCAAGUGCUCUCAGUGGCUGGGUGCUGGCUUAGCUCGAUUGCUUGGGCAGGGCUUUGGGGAGAGAGAAUUUUAGAAAUCAUGAUGAGCUGUUAUCCUAAACGCCAGUGGCAGAGUGAACAGCUAGGGGAGUAGACGCUCUGGACGGCGUCUGCAGCCUGCUGCCCUGUGUCUUUGGUGUGGACCAUGCACACCGCCUGCGCCUGGACCAGGGGCACGUCUGCUGAGGACCCUGCGCUGGUCCGUUGGCUGACUGCAUGCCCACUGGGUCUGUGGCAGUGACCGCCAUCACUCCAUUCAGGGAGCCACCCCGACGAGGCCCGUGUGUGUCGUCCGCCAGCCAGCUCUCUACGUUUGGAUUAACUGGGGGCUGGCAUCACUCGAUGUGGCGGCUUUGCUUGGAGGCAGGAGUAUCUUAGGAUCAAAUGCGAGAUGGAUGAGUUCUGUGUCUUAAACCCUCUUCUUUGGAGAAAUCUCUCAAUGUACACACAAGUAGAAUAGAGUGAACUUUCACGAAUCUGUC
ensembl:lncRNA